rnacentral:rRNA from 1 species
GAUGAACGCUGGCGGCGUGCCUAAUACACGCAAGUCGAGCGAAUGGAUUAAGAGCUUGCUCUUAUGAAGUUAGCGGCGGACGGGUGAGUAACACGUGGGUAACCUGCCCAUAAGACUGGGAUAACUCCGGGAAACCGGGGCUAAUACCGGAUAAUAUUUUGAACUGCAUGGUUCAACAUUGAAAGGCGGCUUCGGCUGUCACUUAUGGAUGGACCCGCGUCGCAUUAGCUAGUUGGUGAGGUAACGGCUCACCAAGGCAACGAUGCGUAGCCGACCUGAGAGGGUGAUCGGCCACACUGGGACAGAGACACGGCCCAGACUCCUACGGGAGGCAGCAGUAGGGAAUCUUCCGCAAUGGACGAAAGUCUGACGGAGCAACGCCGCGUGAGUGAUGAAGGCUUUCGGGUCGUAAAACUCUGUUGUUAGGGAAGAACAAGUGCUAGUUGAAUAAGCUGGCACCUUGACGGUACCUAACCAGAAAGCCACGGCUAACUACGUGCCAGCCGCCGCGGUAA